rnacentral:rRNA from 1 species
UACGGAGGGGGCGAGCGUUGUCCGAAGUUACUGGGCGUAAAGGGCGCGUAGGCGGCGCGGUAAGUCACUUGUGAAAUCUCUGAGCUUAACUCAGAACGGCCAAGUGAUACUGCACUGCUAGAGUGUGGAAGGGGCAAUCGGAAUUCUUGGUGUAGCGGUGAAAUGCGUAGAUAUCAGGAGGAACACCUGAGGUGAAGGCGGGUUGCUGGGCCGACACUGACGCUGAUGCGCGAAAGCAUGGGGAGCGAACAGG